GUAAUGGCUGGUUCAGGACACCUACAAACUUUCGGUUGUUGAGAUUUCUUCGCAGUCGAAAUUCUGCAAUGGCAAUGCAAAUUAUGGCAUCCAGAUGGCAGUAAGUUUAGCCAUUGGCUUCUUGUUUCUUGGGGGUGGAAUGCGAACAUUUUCAACGAGCAACAGUUCUAUUGCUGCUUUAUUGAUUUCUCUUUAUCCACGCUUGCCUUCUGGACCAAAUGAUAAUCGCUGCCACCUUCAGGCAUUUAGGCAUUUGUACGUCCUUGCAACGGAAUCUCGCUGGAUUC